CCGGGACCAGCAGCGCGGGUACACCGGCAGACGUUCCGCGUCCGGCGCGCAACGCGCAUGCGCUCCGACCCGACCCCGCCCGGGUUCCCCAUCCGACGUCGUCGUCAUGGAAACCCGAGACUGCGCUGGCCGCGGGUUUAGAGGCACCUAGGACGCUCCAGGAAUCGGGUGUCCCUGGCCCUGGCCGGGGGCUGCCCCCGGGAGCAGCGUCCAGGCCCAUGUCGGAUGCAGUCUAAAGGACUGCGUGGAGGAGGCGGCGCCGGGGCGAGACCUCCAGAGCGCACGGCCGGCGGGAGAAAAGCUGAGGAAGUGGGAAAUCUGUGGCUGGAGCUCAGCAGAUUGCAACACUUCUACAUCAAGAAAAUGUGGCAAUAAGGCUGCCAAACCCUCCUGUCUUCUGAACCGAAUCCUUGUAGAUUCUGGAUAUCGCACCUUCAUAGGAAUAUUCUGAGAAUAUUUUCUCCUGUUCGCUUCCAGGAGCCGUCGUAGCAGCCGAUUAGGACUGGCUGCUGGUGUGGUGAUGACCUAGAGGGCUUCUCCCAGAGUCUCGCUCUGUGGCCCACGCCUGAGUGCAGUGGUGUGAUUUCCGCUCCCUCCAACCUCCGCCUCCUGGGUUCAAGCGAUUCUCCUGCCUCAGCCUCCUGAGUAGCUGGGAUGACAGGUAUGCACCACCACGCCCCACUGUUUUUGUAUUUUUAGUAGAGACGGGGUUUCACUAUGAUGGCCAGGCUGUGAAUUGCCUAUUCUUAUCUUCUGCACAUUUGUCUAUUGUCGGUCUUUUUCUCGUCGAUUUACAAGCAUUCCUUUUUUCAUUCUGAAUAUUAAUCCAUUGCUUUCUGAUGCUGUAACUAAGUCCUCCUAGUGGUUUGUCUUCUUGGUUAAGCCAGAUGUUAACUUGGAUUUUUCCUGCAUAAAACUGAAGACUCAAGAUGUAUCAAGCACUGUAUACAGAAAAGUGCUGCGUAUCCUACAGAAAGCUACAGACAGUUGGGGGUCAGAAUCAUUCGGAUUGUUUCAAGUUUGGGGCUAUUAUAAAUAAAGCUGCUAUAAAC
rnacentral:lncRNA from 1 species